GACGAACGCUGGCGGCGUGCUUAACACAUGCAAGUCGAACGGUGAAGCGCCUUCCUUUUUGGUGGGUGUGGAUGAGUGGCGAACGGGUGAGUAACACGUGAGUAACCUGCCCCCUUCUUCUGGAUAACCGCAUGAAAGUGUGGCUAAUACGGGAUAUUCUGGGUCUGUCGCAUGAUGGGUCUGGGAAAGAUAUUGUUUCGGUGGGGGAUGGGCUCGCGGCCUAUCAGCUUGUUGGUGGGGUGAUGGCCUACCAAGGCGGUGACGGGUAGCCGGCCCGAGAGGGUGGACGGUCACACUGGGACUGAGACACGGCCCAGACUCCGACGGGAGGCAGCAGUGGGGAAUAUUGCACAAUGGGCGCAAGCCUGAUGCAGCGACGCCGCGUGAGGGAUGGAGGCCUUCGGGUUGUGAACCUCUUUCGCCAGUGAAGCAGGCCUGCCUCGUUUGUGGGUGGGUUGACGGUAGCUGGAUAAGAAGCGCCGGCUAACUACGUG
rnacentral:rRNA from 1 species